GAUGAUUAGUCCCAUCUCAUUCUUUAAAAGGCUGUUCAGAAGAAGAUACAGCUGAUAUUGCAGACAAAUACUUUUCAGUGUGGAACGUGCCAUGCUAUUGUUACCCAAAGCGUGUAUAAAAACAAGGAUGAACCUAUUCCUGUUUCCACAACAAAUGGAAAUCAAAACCAUUGUGACCUCAAGAGGCCAAGGAACCAGCUGACUCUGUCCACGACUACUAGACCCCCAAAUGCUGCAUCACAUCCUGAAAAACUUCACAUAGAAAAAUUCCAGC